CCUCAACAGAACUAGCUGCUUUCCACAUUUUACAACUGUCUGCAAACUUAAAACAUUUAUUCCAAGUUCCAUAAUGCAGGUCAAUUUUGAAGCUUAGAAGUCCCUGUGGUAUAUGAAUGGAAAAAUACCACUGAUAAAAAUUCUCUGAGUAAGGCCCAAGGAGCUCUGCCUAGAGCCUAGAAGGAACUAUAGAUGGAUUUAAGAUCAGAAGCCCCAUCCCCGACUUACAGCAGUGCACAAAUACACGUGAGAUUCAUUAGCUGCCAGAGUGAUGAUGUCAUCAUACAGCUUCUGGAAAAGUCACUGUAAGUAACAGCCAGAGCAACCAGGAAUCCCAUGUGCAUGAGGCCCCUACCUCCCUGGACCACACCAGCAUGAGAUGUCUUCCUGUGGCAAUGAGGGUCACGUCUAUCCUCAAAUAUCAGUUUAUCAAAGAAGUCUUUCAUGGCAACUUCAUGUCCUCGAAACUGCAGCAGUGCUAUCUUAUCUCACCUUCGCAAGAUAUCCCUGAAGUUUUAUGGCCCAUAUUGUACAGAUGAAGAAACAAGUUCAAAGAAAUAAAGUAAUAGGAGUCUUGCCUGAUUUUCUAUGGUUCCAGAAUCACCCAAGCGGAUAAUGAAGUGAGUUGCAGUUAAGAUGGAGCCCACUGGGGAAGAGAUGAAGCAGUGUUCACCUGAAGCACCAUCUGCAUUUUCCUAGUCCUGACAGUUACCUCUAGCUGACCAGGGUUUCUGUGCAGGACUUCUGGGAAUGCAAAUGCCAACUUUUCAAAUUUCCUAUAGGUGGAAACUCCAAAUGAUGCCAGCUUUUAAAAACGUUUUGUACUUUGUGAAGCUCUAGAGCAGCUGUGUGUGACUAGAAUGAAGAAAGACGCUUGUAUAAAAUGCCAGCAAAACAACCCCACCUGCUAACAGGAAUGCUGGCGGUCAUAAUAGCCAAGACCUGGGAACUUGAUUAUUCAUUCAGCUAACCUCAUCUUUUGUCAGCCUCACCAGUGGUAGGUAGUAAAUCUGAGAAAGAUAAUUUAGACUGAAAUAUUAGUGGCCUUUCAAGUUGCAAUACAGCUCAUUCCUUUGAUUCUAGUCUACCAGUUGCCACUUCUGGUCCAUUUGCAUAUAACACUGGAGAAGUGUUCCUUUAUCUUUGUGAAGCCCUUAACAUUCAAGGAGCCACUACUGCUUCUAUGCUGCUGAAAAAUACAAGACACUGCCUCUACCUCUGCAUCUGUCCUUUGCUUUUUGCUUGGAAACUAUCACAUCAAAUCACACUGAGAUCAGGAGAUGAGAUGAAGGAUCAGCUGAGGAACAGUCAUCCCAACAGUAGUGCCUGUUCCUACUGAGCUCUCACUGGCAAACUAUCAGUAGAAGAAGCCUGGUCAGAAAUCUGAUGUAUGUCUCACUGGACUACAAUCAAGGUGGCUACAGAGCUGCGUUUCUCUCUGGAGCCUCUAGGAGAAAAUCAGUUUCCUUAUCUUUUUCAGCCUCUAGAGGCCACCUGCAUUCCUGGACUUGUGGCCUCUUCCUCCAUCUUAAAGCCAGCAAGAGAGCAUCAUUCUGGGCCAGCUUCUCUCCUCACCGCUUUCACUGACCGCAGUCAAUAAAGGCUCUUUGAU
rnacentral:lncRNA from 10 species